AAGCGGCGAUUACACUACGGCGUAGCUCGCCUCGGUAUAUUUCUUUGUUUGUUUAUUUAAGCGGCGAUUACACUACAGCGUAUAGCUCGCCUCGGUGUA